ACAGGCAUGUGCCACCACACCUGGCUAAUUUUGUAUUUUUAAUAGAGAUGGGGUUUCUCCAUGUUGAUCAGGCUGGUCUUGAACUCCCGACCUCAGGUGAUCCGUCCGCCUUGGUCUCCCAAAGUGCUGGGAUUACAGACAUGAGCCACCGCACCCAGCCUGGAUGAGGGUCUUUAGCAAAGAUGGAAGUUUUGGUACCUUUCAGUUUAAUCUCUUCAUUUAUGUCCUCCUGAAAUCUUUAGUAAUAGCACACUUUGUCAAUGCUUCUGGGGUCGUACUUAGGGGGACUUAAAGGAGAUGUGAUAUAGCAGCCUUUGACUCGAGGGAGUAUCAUACUAGUUCAAAGAGAUCUGGGUACAUGCCAGUUGAACCAACUCUUCUGAGGAUGUGAUAGAUCCUGGGAGGCCACUCUGAUCCUGCCAACCUUGAGGCCAGAUGAGUCUUUGAAAAACAUGGUUUGGCUUAACACCAGCACUAAGUCUAACACCCACCAUGAAUCUUGCUGAAGUGAAGCUAUACAAAUACCUUUUCAAAAGAUGUUUUUCAUUUCAGAUCCUUCUUAGAAAUUCCUAAGGCUCAAUGCUGUGUGGAAGAUUCUAAGAAAGAAAAUAGUUUCCGAUCUUUGGGAUUCCCCUGAGAUGGUCCAAUCUGCAAAAAGUUCAUUGCCAUUUCCAUCAAGGACACUGAGAAAAAGAGUCUUAUCCGGAUUGGAUCCUGGAAAUUGAGAAGCUUCAACAAGUGGGAAAUGCACCCUCCACAGGCUCACACCCUUGUGGGCUAUUUCAGUUACCUAUUGCACCUAAAAUUAGAAACUUUAAACCACCACAAGUCAUUAUUGCUCAUGACCAUGUGAGUUGCAUGGGGACUUCCUGUCUGGUUUAACUUGGGCUCAUUUGUGUGGCUACCUGCAGCUGGAGGGCCAGCUGGGUGGAACAUCCAGGACAGCCUCACACAUGUGCCUGGCAGUUGGUGCUGGCUGUCAGCCGGGGAAACUUGUUUUCCUCCAUCUGGCCCCUCGCCCUCCAGAGCCCCUCCCCAAAUGGCCCUUUAAGCAGGAUAGCCAAGGCUUGCUUGGUGCCAGCAUCCAAGAGGGCAAAAAUAUGGAAACUACAAGAGGACUCUCAAGGCCUAAGACUACAGGCACCCCAAAAAUCUGAGGUCUCAGUUAAUUGAGAAAGUUUAUUUUGCCAAGGUUGAGGAUGCACGCCUGUGAUACAGCCUCAGGAGGUCCUGACAACAUGUGCCUAAGGUGGUAGGGACACAGCUUGCCUUCAUACAUUUUAGAGAGACAUGAGACAUCAAUCAAUAUGUGCAAAAUGUACAUUGGUCCAGUCUGGAAAGGCGGGUCAACUCCAG
rnacentral:lncRNA from 10 species